rnacentral:ncRNA from 1 species
AAAGACUUAGUCCUAACCUUACCGUUGAUUAUUGCCGGACAUAUACAUGCAAGUAUCCGCGCCCCAGUGUAAAUGCCCUUAAACACCUUACCAAGACAAAAGGAGCAGGUAUCAGGCACACCAACUGUAGCCCAAGACACCUUGCUCGGCCACACCCCCACGGGUACUCAGCAGUAAUUAACAUUAAGCAAUAAGUGCAAACUUGACUUAGUUACGGCAAACUUCUAGGGCUGGUUAAUCUUGUGCCAGCCGCCGCGGUCAUACAAGAAACCCAAACCAACGGCAGCACGGCGUAAAGAGUGACACGACAAUAUCCACAGGGCGGGGGCCGAAACACAACUGAGCAGUCAUAAGCAUAAGAUGUGUAGAAGAACUCCAAGAAAGUUAAGCCCCAGCCAAGCACGACCUAAUUACUGUCACGAAAGCCAAGACACAAACUGGGAUUAGAUACCCCACUAUGCUUGGCCUUAAAUCUUGACACUUCCCCAACUAAAGUGUCCGCCUGAGAACUACGAGCACAAACGCUUAAAACUCUAAGGACUUGGCGGUGCCCCAAACCCACCUAGAGGAGCCUGUUCUAUAAUCGAUAACCCGCGCUACACCCGACCGCUCUUUGCCCACUCAGCCUACAUACCGCCGUCGCCAGUCCACCUAUCCUGAGAGAACAACAGUGGGCAUAACAGCCCUAACCACGCUAAAAAGACAGGUCAAGGUAUAGCCCAUAGAGCGGAAGAAAUGGGCUACAUUUUCUAACCUAGAAAACUACGAAAGGGGACAUGAAACUCCCCCAAAAGGCGGAUUUAGCAGUAAAGUUGGACCACAAUGCCACCUUAAAACUGGCCCCGGGGCACGUACAUACCGCCCGUCACCCUCCUCACAAGCUAUUAACACAAGUAACUAACAUCAUCUCUAGCCAAAGAUGAGGU